CCUACGGGGCGCUGCAGUGGGGAAUAUUGGACAAUGGGCGAAAGCCUGAUCCAGCCAUGCCGCGUGUGUGAAGAAGGCCUUCGGGUUGUAAAGCACUUUCAGUGGGGAAGAAAGCCUUGGGGCUAAUACCCUCGAGGAAGGACAUCACCCACAGAAGAAGCACCGGCUAACUCCGUGCCAGCAGUCGCGGUAAUACGGAGGGUGCGAGCGUGAAUCGGAAUUACUGGGCGUAAAGCGCGCGUAGGCGGUCUGAUAAGCCGGUUGUGAAAGCCCCGGGCUCAACCUGGGAACGGCAUCCGGAACUGUCAGGCUAGAGUGCAGGAGAGGAAGGUAGAAUUCCCGGUGUAGCGGUGAAAUGCGUAGAGAUCGGGAGGAAUACCAGUGGCGAAGGCGGCCUUCUGGACUGACACUGACGCUGAGGUGCGAAAGCGUGGGUAGCAAACAGGAUUAGAUACCCGAGUAGUC
rnacentral:rRNA from 1 species